UAAACAAGGAGAUCCACUAUC
rnacentral:misc_RNA from 1 species